rnacentral:rRNA from 1 species
ACAGCAGCAGCCGCGGUAAUACGAAGGGUGCAAGCGUUACUCGGAAUUACUGGGCGUAAAGCGUGCGUAGGUGGUGGUUUAAGUCCGUUGUGAAAGCCCUGGGCUCAACCUGGGAAUUGCAGUGGAUACUGGGUCACUAGAGUGUGGUAGAGGAUAGUGGAAUUUCCGGUGUAGCAGUGAAAUGCGUAGAGAUCGGAAGGAACAUCUGUGGCGAAGGCGACUAUCUGGGCCAACACUGACACUGAGGCACGAAAGCGUGGGGAGCAAACAGGAUUAGAUACCCCCGUAGUCCCUGUCUCUUAUAA